rnacentral:rRNA from 1 species
CGUCUCCUACGGGAGGCAGCAGUGAGGAAUAUUGGUCAAUGGCCGCAGGGCUGAACCAGCCAAGUCGCGUGAGGGAUGACGGUCCUAUGGAUUGUAAACCUCUUUUGUCGGGGAGCAAAAGCCGGACGUGUCCGUCUGUGAGAGUACCCGAAGAAAAAGCAUCGGCUAACUCCGUGCCAGCAGCCGCGGUAAUACGGAGGAUGCGAGCGUUAUCCGGAUUUAUUGGGUUUAAAGGGUGCGCAGGCGGAUUUUUAAGUCAGCGGUCAAAUCGUGGGGCUCAACCCCAUCCAGCCGUUGAAACUGGG